GAAAAAGCGUCACAUACCUUACAGAUUUUGAUUAGGAUAGCAAAAGGAGACACCAAAUAACAUGAAUCGUCCCUCACCGAUCAUUCUCAGCACUAAAAAGGAGAAAUAAACGUAAUUCUGCUAAGAUUUCAAGACUCCACAUGCAUAAAACAGCAAAUUUUCACUACUCUGCAUCCGACCUGCAAUCAAUUGGACUAGUUAAUGGGGGCUAGUCCAGCAUCAGAGUAAAUCCUAACUUACAGCUUUUUUACUUCUGACAGGAAUAGCAAGCUGACACA
rnacentral:misc_RNA from 1 species